rnacentral:rRNA from 1 species
UACGUAGGGGGCGAGCGUUGUCCGGAAUUAUUGGGCGUAAAGAGCGCGUAGGCGGCUCUCCAAGUCCGGUGUGAAAACCUAGGGCUUAACCCUGGGCCUGCACCGGAAACUGGUUGGCUAGAGUUUGGUAGAGGAGAUCGGAAUUCCUAGUGUAGCGGUGAAAUGCGCAGAUAUUAGGAAGAACACCGGUGGCGAAGGCGGAUCUCUGGGCCACAACUGACGCUGAGGCGCGAAAGCUAGGGGAGCAAACAGG